UGGGUACCACUGCGGGUGAUGCUGCUGCCACCCCAGCUGAGUCACUUUAACAUGUCCAGGGAGAACAUGACCCUCUCUGUCCUGCUUUCCAGCCGCUGGAAGCCAUCACCGUGCUGCGGGCAGCCGUGAGAGAGGCAAGAGGGCUCUGGCUUCUCCUGGCACCCCUGCAGCUGCCGAGAGGACGCCCCUGGUUUUGGCAGCCGUCAGCACUGAUUCGGCCAAGAGGACACUGGGUGAGCACCACGGGGCCUGGGACGUGGCAGGGUUUGACAACGCAACGAGGAUGGUGCUGCUGCCUUCAUCUGCAGAGACUCGUCGCCCAGGCACCAGCAGCCCGUCUCAACUGGUGAGCAGCUGGGUGGGCACAGAGCCGCCUGGCAGCCCUUCCACGGGCACUGCAGCCACUUCAUCCAGCCCCUCGGGUAGCAGUGGGGGGAUACUGCGACCCCUCCCCAGCACCCCUCUCCCUGGGUCUCCGGGACAGCCCCAGUCAUCCCCCCGAGCUUCCAGUACCCAGACUGGUGCAAACCGUGUCGUGCUACAUCCCGGGGAUGUCACGGGGGACUCCACAAGCCCUUUGCUCACAGCAUCGCCUGCCAUGGACAGUGCUUUUGGAGCCAUUGGAAGCAGCUACCAGCCAUCCGACGUCUCGGCCGUGGAGAGGAGAGUUUCGGAUUUCCCCACGGCUGGCACCUCUGUUUCCACAACAGCCACCAAGGGUGGAGGGAGGACGUUGAGGUCUCUGCCAGCCAGCACCAGGCUGGCCAAUGCAGCAGAGGUUUCCACCUCUGGUACCGAAAUCGCCAGCUCCUCGGACCAGACCCAGUCCCCUGGGAUGUCUCUGAGACCCCAGGGUGGUGGUGGCAGAAGUGCCACAGACCCAUUGCUCACGAACUCGCCGCCUGCUUCGGAAAGCGCUUCCACAACCUUUAGCAGCAAUUACGAACCCAAGAGCAUCCCAGCUGCAGAAGAGGCGCCGCUGCACUCAAAUGCCCGUGGUGCUGACAUGCCCAGUGUGGCAGCAGGGACGCCGGGGUCCCCUGCAAACGGCCGCACAGACGGGGUGACAAGGGGCUCUGCCACCAGCACCGACCCCACCAGCUCUUGGAGAGAGACCUUCUCCUCCCCGGAGGCUGGAACACACCGUCCUAAUGGCUCCCGGGAAGCCACCCAUCUCCCAGCGCCUCCUGGGGAGCCUUUGCUCACAAGCUCGGUCUCUGCCUCCCAAAAUACUUCCAGAGGUAAAUUUGUUAGGCUGAAAGUUGGCUGCUUUGGGGCUGGAGGAGAUUUCGUGUCCCCGCGCUGUUUUUCUUUAGAUACGGCCGUCAGUCGCUAUUGGAUACGUGG
rnacentral:lncRNA from 1 species